CCUACGGGAGGCAGCAGUGAGGAAUAUUGGUCAAUGGACGAGAGUCUGAACCAGCCAAGUAGCGUGACGGAUGACUGCCCUAUGGGUUGUAAACUUCUUUUAUAUGGGAAUAAAACGUUCCACGUGUGGGAUUUUGUAUGUACCAUAUGAAUAAGGAUCGGCUAACUCCGUGCCAGCAGCCGCGGUAAUACGGAGGAUCCGAGCGUUAUCCGGAUUUAUUGGGUUUAAAGGGAGCGUAGGUGGAUUGUUAAGUCAGUUGUGAAAGUUUGCGGCUCAACCGUAAAAUUGCAGUUGAAACUGGCAGUCUUGAGUACAGUAGAGGUGGGCGGAAUUCGUGGUGUAGCGGUGAAAUGCUUAGAUAGCACGAAGAACUCCGAUUGCGAAGGCAGUUCACUGGACUGCAACUGACACUGAGGCUCGAAAGUGUGGGUAUCAAACAGGAUUAGAUACCCCUGUAGUC
rnacentral:rRNA from 1 species